UUUAAAUAUAAGUUCAUUUGGCGUUUGGUUGGUGACGGUUGAAGGAGUAUUACGAUACGCAAAUAGAAAUUGAAUGUCGAUCGAAUUACUAAGGCUAUCCAAUAAAAAACAUUUCAAACUCGAUUUUACUGUUUGCACUGCCGUUGCUCGAUGGGUGAUAAGCUGGGAUGGGUAUUCUCUUAAUAUUUUGAUUUUUUAAAAACGUCACGAACUUAACUGAGUUAAACGGAGGACCGUUAUCCGAUACCAGUAAAAGUGGUAAACCAAAAAUACUAAAGUUUUUGCAUAGUUUUGAUAUAAAUGAUUUAGCUGUAGUCGUUUUCAUAUAAAAUAAAUCAAGAUAUUUGGAAAAAAACGUCAAAAAUUAUCAAAAAAAUUUGAUUUUUAAAAUAAAAAAAAUCAAUAUGUAAUCGUUCGUAAGGGAAACUAGUACUAGGCCAAGACGAAUUUACUUUCUGAGUGGAAACGUUUCUAUUUGAUUGACAUGUCAAACAACUUGUUACAUAUCGCUCUAUGUCAUCGUCUAUUUUCAUCCACCAGACAUAUGACCUGGCCAAAUAGUUUCAUUCGGAUCAUACCAUUGUGAUUUGUAUGUAAUACUUUUAGAAUAUGAUUUUUUAGAUCUUGUGGAACGACUAUGCGAUAAAUAAGAAUGAACAUCGUCAUCAUGCUUUGACGGCCAACCAAACUGGACAAAAUUUAUAAAUUUUAUUUAAAAAGGAACUUUCUUUUUGACGUCUCCGAAUAGUUUCAAAAUCUAAAGGUAUUUCAUGACUCUCAUUGAAAAAAUUAAUGCAAUCCAUUCCGUCUUCUGGAACACCACUUGGUUCAUCCAAGGGUAAACGUGAGAGAGCAUCUACAUGUCCCAUAAGUCUGCCUGGCUUGAAUUUUAUUUCAUAAUCAUACAUCGUUAAAAUGACUGACCAUCUUUUGAGUCUACCAAUAGCAACGGAAGAAUUACAUUUUUUCGGGUUGAAAAUCUCUUUCAACGGUUCAUGAUCGCUAAAAAGCUGAAAUUUAAGCCCAUAUAUGUAUUUAUGGAAUUUUCGAAUUCCAAAUAUAAUUGCUAGGGCCUCUCUAUGUAA